GGAGCAGCCCAGAGCCUGAAUCAGUGUGUGUGUUAGUGGAAGCGUCUGGAAAGGCGUGCGAUACAGGGUGACAGCCCCGUACACAAAAAUGCACAUACUGUGAGCUCGAUGAGUAGGGCGGGACACGUGGUAUCCUGUCUGAAUAUGGGGGGACCAUCCUCCAAGGCUAAAUACUCCUGACUGACCGAUAGUGAACCAGUACCGUGAGGGAAAGGCGAAAAGAACCCCGGCGAGGGGAGUGAAAAAGAACCUGAAACCGUGUACGUACAAGCAGUGGGAGCACGCUUAGGCGUGUGACUGCGUACCUUUUGUAUAAUGGGUCAGCGACUUAUAUUCUGUAGCAAGGUUAACCGAAUAGGGGAGCCGAAGGGAAACCGAGUCUUAACUGGGCGUUAAGUUGCAGGGUAUAGACCCGAAACCCGGUGAUCUAGCCAUGGGCAGGUUGAAGGUUGGGUAACACUAACUGGAGGACCGAACCGACUAAUGUUGAAAAAUUAGCGGAUGACUUGUGGCUGGGGGUGAAAGGCCAAUCAAACCGGGAGAUAGCUGGUUCUCCCCGAAAGCUAUUUAGGUAGCGCCUCGUGAAUUCAUCUCCGGGGGUAGAGCACUGUUUCGGCAAGGGGGUCAUCCCGACUUACCAACCCGAUGCAAACUGCGAAUACCGGAGAAUGUUAUCACGGGAGACACACGGCGGGUGCUAACGUCCGUCGUGAAGAGGGAAACAACCCAGACCGCCAGCUAAGGUCCCAAAGUCAUGGUUAAGUGGGAAACGAUGUGGGAAGGCCCAGACAGCCAGGAUGUUGGCUUAGAAGCAGCCAUCAUUUAAAGAAAGCGUAAUAGCUCACUGGUCGAGUCGGCCUGCGCGGAAGAUGUAACGGGGCUAAACCAUGCACCGAAGCUGCGGCAGCGACGCUUAUGCGUUGUUGGGUAGGGGAGCGUUCUGUAAGCCUGUGAAGGUGUGCUGUGAGGUAUGCUGGAGGUAUCAGAAGUGCGAAUGCUGACAUAAGUAACGAUAAAGCGGGUGAAAAGCCCGCUCGCCGGAAGACCAAGGGUUCCUGUCCAACGUUAAUCGGGGCAGGGUGAGUCGACCCCUAAGGCGAGGCCGAAAGGCGUAGUCGAUGGGAAACAGGUUAAUAUUCCUGUACUUGGUGUUACUGCGAAGGGGGGACGGAGAAGGCUAUGUUGGCCGGGCGACGGUUGUCCCGGUUUAAGCGUGUAGGCUGGUUUUCCAGGCAAAUCCGGAAAAUCAAGGCCGAGGCGUGAUGACGAGGCACUACGGUGCUGAAGCAACAAAUGCCCUGCUUCCAGGAAAAGCCUCUAAGCAUCAGGUAACAUCAAAUCGUACCCCAAACCGACACAGGUGGUCAGGUAGAGAAUACCAAGGCGCUUGAGAGAACUCGGGUGAAGGAACUAGGCAAAAUGGUGCCGUAACUUCGGGAGAAGGCACGCUGAUACGUAGGUGAAGCGACUUGCUCGUGGAGCUGAAAUCAGUCGAAGAUACCAGCUGGCUGCAACUGUUUAUUAAAAACACAGCACUGUGCAAACACGAAAGUGGACGUAUACGGUGUGACGCCUGCCCGGUGCCGGAAGGUUAAUUGAUGGGGUUAGCGCAAGCGAAGCUCUUGAUCGAAGCCCCGGUAAACGGCGGCCGUAACUAUAACGGUCCUAAGGUAGCGAAAUUCCUUGUCGGGUAAGUUCCGACCUGCACGAAUGGCGUAAUGAUGGCCAGGCUGUCUCCACCCGAGACUCAGUGAAAUUGAACUCGCUGUGAAGAUGCAGUGUACCCGCGGCAAGACGGAAAGACCCCGUGAACCUUUACUAUAGCUUGACACUGAACAUUGAGCCUUGAUGUGUAGGAUAGGUGGGAGGCUUUGAAGUGUGGACGCCAGUCUGCAUGGAGCCGACCUUGAAAUACCACCCUUUAAUGUUUGAUGUUCUAACGUGGACCCGUGAUCCGGGUUGCGGACAGUGUCUGGUGGGUAGUUUGACUGGGGCGGUCUCCUCCUAAAGAGUAACGGAGGAGCACGAAGGUUGGCUAAUCCUGGUCGGACAUCAGGAGGUUAGUGCAAUGGCAUAAGCCAGCUUGACUGCGAGCGUGACGGCGCGAGCAGGUGCGAAAGCAGGUCAUAGUGAUCCGGUGGUUCUGAAUGGAAGGGCCAUCGCUCAACGGAUAAAAGGUACUCCGGGGAUAACAGGCUGAUACCGCCCAAGAGUUCAUAUCGACGGCGGUGUUUGGCACCUCGAUGUCGGCUCAUCACAUCCUGGGGCUGAAGUAGGUCCCAAGGGUAUGGCUGUUCGCCAUUUAAAGUGGUACGCGAGCUGGGUUUAGAACGUCGUGAGACAGUUCGGUCCCUAUCUGCCGUGGGCGCUGGAGAACUGAGGGGGGCUGCUCCUAGUACGAGAGGACCGGAGUGGACGCAUCACUGGUGUUCGGGUUGUCAUGCCAAUGGCACUGCCCGGUAGCUAAAUGCGGAAGAGAUAAGUGCUGAAAGCAUCUAAGCACGAAACUUGCCCCGAGAUGAGUUCUCCCUGACCCUUUAAGGGUCCUGAAGGAACGUUGAAGACGACGACGUUGAUAGGCCGGGUGUGUAAGCG
rnacentral:rRNA from 1 species